rnacentral:rRNA from 1 species
AGCGAACGCUGGCGGCAGGCCUAACACAUGCAAGUCGAACGAAGUCUUCGGACUUAGUGGCGGACGGGUGAGUAACACGUGGGAACGUGCCUUUAGGUUCGGAAUAACUCAGGGAAACUUGUGCUAAUACCGAAUGUGCCCUUCGGGGGAAAGAUUUAUCGCCUUUAGAGCGGCCCGCGUCUGAUUAGCUAGUUGGUGAGGUAAAGGCUCACCAAGGCUACGAUCAGUAGCUGGUCUGAGAGGAUGACCAGCCACAUUGGGACUGAGGAUGCCCAGCCACAUUGGGACUGAGACACGGCCCAAACUCCUACGGGAGGCAGCAGUGGGGAAUCUUGCGCAAUGGGCGAAAGCCUGACGCAGCCAUGCCGCGUGGAUGAUGAAGGUCUUAGGAUUGUAAAAUCCUUUCACCGGUGAAGAUAAUGACUGUAGCCGGAGAAGAAGCCCCGGCUAACUUCGUGCCAGCCGCCGCGGUAAAAC